CAAUGAGAAGUAGGAGCUACAUUUUUGCGCGGAAGCACCUGGAAGAGUGAGUGACGCGGCAAUGAUACCCCUCAGGAUCUAGCGUCUUGUCAACAGCCGCCGCAGCGAUCAUGGCAACUUCUUGCAAUUACGGUCGUACCAGCCGUACUGGGAAGGUUACAGCGCCUAAAUUUAUACAGGUUUCGUCAUGAGGGCUACCCAGUGAAUAAUCUGUGCAGUGUGAUACGGCUGGGUGUACAGGUUACUUCACAGCUGCCUCGACAUACUCAAGAAAUGGAUGCAGAACCUACGUAAUGCCCACAAACUUUGACUACCACAGCACCUCCAGAAAGUAAAGGGAUAUGUGUCACAUGGGAUUUAUAAAGGCAUUCACAGUAUAUAAUACCUUGUAUGAACUGUUGUAGAUCUAAGCAGCCUCUACGGUACACUCUCAGAAAUUAAAACUUGUCAGAGAACUG